CACUGCAUUUAGAAUGAUCUUGUUCUUCAAGAGCACAGCAAACAAAAUCAGUUAUCUGAACCUGCCUUUAAUUUCGCGUAAUCUAUAAGUAACAAAAGGAAUAAUAUUUAAUGACAAAGCCGCUUCUAUUUGUAAGCAAUUUCCCGUUCGUUUGCUGACAGUCUUAAAUCGUGAUUUGAAUGUCGCAUGUUCAAAUGACACUACUGGUUUCCACUGCCGAAAACAUGUUUUUGGUAGCUGUGUACGCCACUGUUUUCUCUAGUUACAAGAACUUUGUGAUUUUUAGCGAGUUUUUGGAGGCCACUCUAGGAUUUUUUACAUUUUGAAUUCUAGAUAAAUGAAAUCCUAAUACUGCAUCAAAGUCAUGGUUCUCGGAGAAACGUGGACAUGAUGACGUGGUGUUUGCUUAUUGGCACUGGAACGUACCUAAUUGAUGCUAUAGUUGACGACGCUGUUAGCAUCGAAGUGUAAAUGCUAAAUGAUGGAAACGGACUGAUUCUUCGGCAACGCUUGGUACCUGUAUGGCACGGUGCACAAUUCUCAAACUAUACCGCAGUCAGUUAAAUAACCACAGAGUUUACCUUCAAAAUUCCAAAGAUUCAUAUAAUUGUAUUUACAGAGAAGUCUGGUUGUUGUCAUGUGUGAAGUUGUUAUAGGUUUUUCAUGUUGAGGCUUCUAAUGAUGCAUAUUUUUUGUUUCACGUUUUUGACAGAUGUAAUAUCAGCAUCUGCCUCGGACUCGUCAUGCAGUCAAUUUGAACAGAAUUCUUUUUGUGAUUUGACGUGAGGUUUCAAAUAAUGCAGGACAUUCCAAUAUUUGUUUGUAGGCCAUCAUAUAAACAAAUAUGAACUCGAUAAGUAUUGAUAUUGAUGGAACGGUGUCCGAUUUUAGGACAUCUAAAUCUGACAGUUCCUGCCUGAAAAUAAAUUCCGUGAACAGUGCUGGCUAUCUAUAUAAUUGCUGCUUGCUACUGAUCACCGUAAUUGUUUUAAGCAUAAUUCUAUUUGAAUUCAAAGAAUAUGUUAGAGCAUUGCUAAUGUGGGUUGAGUCACAAGAUCAAGUUGUUAUAUACUUAAUUUUUACUGUGCUGUUCGUUCUAGUUUCCUUCCCAUUCACUUGGGGGUACACAGUUCUUGUUUUCGCUACAGGUUACGUUUUCGGAAUAAUUAGAGGGCUAGUAACAGUUUUAUUCGCAGCAAACAUUGGUGUAGUUGUCGCACAUUUUGCAGUUAGACUUGUACACUAUAAAUUUCCAUUAACAAAGCUUAUCCAGAAUGACAAAAUUCAAGCUGUGCUCUCUGUGAUAUCGGGAUCUAAAGCAUUUAGAGUUGCAGCCUUUUCUCGCUUGACCCCAGUGCCUUUCGGAGUACAGAAUUUAAUAUUUGCAGUCAGCAAUAUUAAUACGAGAAUAUAUUUCAUAGCAUCUUUUAUUGGUAUGAUACCAGCCCAAGUCAUAAAUGUGUAUCUGGGAAGCUCAUUGAGAUCAAUGGAGGAAGUUUUGUCCCACAAAUCAACAGCCACCACAGCUAUCAUUGUGUUUUUUCAAAAGAGGCACUACUCUGCACAGGAUUAAAACAGGAUGUUCAAGCUCCACUGGAUCAAAAGAACCAAGAGAAGCUCGUCACUAGUGUCACACAGAUUCAGCCAUUGCCUUUAAGAAGCAAAAUUAUAGAAUAGCAGCAUGCCACAAAAUUAAGGAAAUAAUUGAGAAGGAAAUUGCAAAACCAUUCCCAGCAUACAAUAAAAUAUCACAGUUGGUGUGUGCCUCAUGGCUUAUGUAUUGACGAAAGCUCGUCAAGAGUUAAGGAAAGCGCUAUAUAGUACAUCGUAUAGUCAGGUGGCAUGAUUCUUGUUAGUUACCAUUGACACACAUGGUACAUUACACCACAGCACUGAAAUCAAAUUUUUGAAAGACAUAAUCAGUAUUGUUUUAUAUUUAUUGAUUUAGAACUGCUUUUUGCUUAGUUUUAAUACAGAAUGAAUCAGUCAGUUCAAUCUGUCUGUUGUAUAAUUUUCUAUUUCUUUUUUAUUUAUUUUGCCAUUAAAUGUCACACUUUGGUUAUUUAUAUGUAAACUAUGGGGAUAUUGAAAAAGUAUAGUUUUACAUGAAUUGCAUGUAUAUUCACAACUUCUGUGUUUUCACAGAAACUUGUUAUAAACUGAAUGCUGUUAAAUCUGUACCUACUCAUUGCACUACAUGAUGAUUGGUCAGACAGUGAUGACAUUUUUAUUUUCAGUUAAUGUUUCAGGCAGCUUGCUGAUUGAAAUAUUUUAAGGGCUGUGAUUGUGCCAAAGAUAGGUCAGGUAUUAAUUACAUCCGGGAAAACAUUUUUUGUGUAUGUUUACUUACACAAAUACAAGUAUUUACAAGAAGUCGUCUUAUAAAUCCUGUUAUGUUGUCUUUUGUUAUUGCAGCAUAAUUUUAUGGAUGUAUUAGAAUGUGAUAAAAUCAAAUUGAUAAACACAUGUUACAUAAAAAUGUUUGUUAUAACUAUAAAGGGAAAUAAAUUUGUAGACUCAUAGGAUGAGGUCAAAAUGAUUGUGCCAUUUUUGUUUGUAGUUCAGUUUUUAGUGCUUUGUUUUUUCUACAUAUUUUGUCAAAACUUUGUCAAGUACAGAAAUUGUAUAAUCUACAUCUUCUUUGGUGAUGCACAUCGGUGGUUUAAUGCGGAAUACCUGCGAACAAUAAGAUAUGAUUAGAGCACUAUUUGUGAAAGCAUUUAAUUACUUUGUGCCUUCAAUAAAUGAACAUAUUUAUUGUUAA